GCCUGGUUGGCUCAGUCAGUUGAGCAUAUGACUGUUGAUUUUGGGGUUGUGAGUUCAAGUCCCAUGUUGGGUA
rnacentral:tRNA from 1 species